UAAGAAAUUAGAGUUUUCGGUUCGGCCGGACGAAACACAGGUGCUGCAUGGCUGUCGUCAGCUCGUGUCGUGAGAUGUUGGGUUAAGUCCCGCAACGAGCGCAACCCUCACUUUUAGUUGCCAUCAUUAAGUUGGGCACUCUGAAAGAACUGCCAGUGAUAAGCUGGAGGAAGGUGGGGAUGACGUCAAGUCCUCAUGGCCCUUACGUGUUGGGCUACACACGUGCUACAAUGGUAUCUACAACAGGAAGCAAGACUGCGAAGUUUAGCAAAUCCCUAAAAGAUACCUCAGUUCGGAUUGCACUCUGCAACUCGAGUGCAUGAAGCUGGAAUUACUAGUAAUCGUGGAUCAGCGUGCCACGGUGAAUGCGUUCCCGGGUCUUGUACACACCGCCCGUCACACCAUGGGAGUUGGUUCUACCUUAAGGCAAGGUUUCAAACCCUUGACCACGGUAUAGUCAGCGACUGGGGUGAAGUCGUA
rnacentral:rRNA from 1 species